rnacentral:rRNA from 1 species
UCUGCUAAGAGGAGGAAGGAAUGGGCAACGGUAGGUCAGCAUGCCCCGAAUUAUCCGGGCUACACGCGGGCUACAAUGGUCAGGACAAUGGGUAUCGACACCGAGAGGUGGAGGCAAUCUCCUAAACCUGUCCUUAGUUCGGAUUGUGGGCUGCAACUCGCCCACAUGAAGCUGGAAUCCGUAGUAAUCGCGUUUCAAAUAGCGCGGUGAAUAUGUCCCUGCUCCUU